rnacentral:rRNA from 1 species
GAUGAACGCUGGCGGCGUGCCUAAUACAUGCAAGUCGAGCGAACGGACGAGAAGCUUGCUUUUCUGAUGUUAGCGGCGGACGGGUGAGUAACACGUGGAUAACCUACCUAUAAGACUGGGAUAACUUCGGGAAACCGGAGCUAAUACCGGAUAAUAUUUUGAACCGCAUGGUUCAAAAGUGAAAGACGGUCUUGCUGUCACUUAUAGAUGGAUCCGCGCUGCAUUAGCUAGUUGGUAAGGUAACGGCUUACCAAGGCAACGAUGCAUAGCCGACCUGAGAGGGUGAUCGGCCACACUGGAACUGAGACACCGUCCAGACUCCUACGGGAGGCAGCAGUAGGGAAUCUUCCGCAAUGGGCGAAAGCCUGACGGAGCAACGCCGCGUGAGUGAUGAAGGUCUUCGGAUCGUAAAACUCUGUUAUUAGGGAAGAACAUAUGUGUAAGUAACUGUGCACAUCUUGACGGUACCUAAUCAGAAAGCCACGGCUAACUACGUG